AUACUUACCUAGAAGAAGAGAUACCAUAAUCACAAAGGUCAUUUUCCCAGGGUGAGGCUUAUCCAUCACAUCCAGAACAUCUUGAUAUUCUGACCCCUACAGUUUCCCCAAAUUCAGGAAACUCAACUGCAUACUUGGUGGUAGUGAGGAACUGUAUUCAUGCUCCCCUGU
rnacentral:snRNA from 1 species